ACGAACGCUGGCGGCGUGCUUAACACCUGCAAGUCGCACGGAAAGGCCCUGCUUUUGUGGGGUGCUCGAGUGGCGAACGGGUGAGUAACACGUGAGUAACCUGCCCUUGACUUUGGGAUAACUUCAGGAAACUGGGGCUAAUACCGGAUAGGAGCUCCUGCUGCAUGGUGGGGGUUGGAAAGGUUCGGCGGUUGGGGAUGGACUCGCGGCUUAUCAGCUUGUUGGUGGGGUAGUGGCUUACCAAGGCUUUGACGGGUAGCCGGCCUGAGAGGGUGACCGGCCACAUUGGGACUGAGAUACGGCCCAGACUCCUACGGGAGGCAGCAGUGGGGAAUAUUGCACAAUGGGCGGAAGCCUGAUGCAGCAACGCCGCGUGCGGGAUGACGGCCUUCGGGUUGUAAACCGCUUUCGCCUGUGACGAAGCGUGAGUGACGGUAAUGGGUAAAGAAGCACCGGCUAACUACGUG
rnacentral:rRNA from 1 species